rnacentral:rRNA from 1 species
GACGAACGCUGGCGGCGUGCUUAACACAUGCAAGUCGGACGAUGAAGCCUAGCUUGCUAGGUGGAUUAGUGGCGAACGGGUGAGUAAUACGUGAGUAACCUACCUUUAACUCUGGGAUAAGCCUGGGAAACUGGGUCUAAUACCGGAUACGACCAAUCUCCGCAUGGGGUGUUGGUGGAAAGCGUUAUGUAGUGGUUAUAGAUGGGCUCACGGCCUAUCAGCUUGUUGGUGAGGUAACGGCUCACCAAGGCGACGACGGGUAGCCGGCCUGAGAGGGUGACCGGCCACACUGGGACUGAGACACGGCCCAGACUCCUACGGGAGGCAGCAGUGGGGAAUAUUGCACAAUGGGCGCAAGCCUGAUGCAGCGACGCCGCGUGAGGGAUGACGGCCUUCGGGUUGUAAAC